rnacentral:lncRNA from 1 species
GCCAUUUUUGGAUCACUAAGUCAUCUCUGGAAGUCUAUGGAAUGUAAAUUACAUCCUUCUGUUAUCUUACCCAUAUGACAUUAUAAUUUUAUAUGUCAAAAUGGUCAGAUAUCAGCAGUUUCACAUGAGCCAACCUAACAAUAGUCACAAAACUAAACAGACAUAGCCCCCCAAGUACUGAUGAAAAACCACAUUACCAUAUUUAAUGUAGACUCUGUUCAAAUCAGAUUUCAACGCUUACUUCAUCUUCAGAUAUUCACCCCCGCCACCGACAGCUGGUUUUGGCUCAAAUAAAAUAGCCCCCGAAUCCUCCGCGCAGGCACCUAAUCCCGAGCGCCGUGCAAUCAAAUCACUUAAUUUGGAAACAACUGACGCCCCCGGGGGACAAUGCCAUGAGAUGAAUUUAGAAGACUGCUUCGCUAUUAGGUAUUUUUGUUUUGCUCUAAAUAUCCACUUAGAAGUGCAAAUGUGCGCGCGCCAUAAACCGCCCUGCUCUGGAGCGCUCGCGCAUUUAGCUGCAGGGCUCGACACGCAGCAUCUGUGAGAAUUAUGUGUUUUCUGCCAGCAGCGCUUGAGCUAUUUAAGCAGGUGACAGCGUGCACCUAGAAGAACGUAUUCAGGGAAAUGUUCAGCAAAGAUCGUAACGUGAAAUGCCAGGACCAUUUAGACACAAAACGUGGAAGGGGCUCGUGUGGAAACGGGCAGGAUUCUGGGCAAGCUGCCGCGUGAUGAGACGUGUGCAAACAGGAGGGGAUCCACUGCUGACGCGCGCUCUGCACCCGCGGUCCACCCUGGGCCCCGCCAGCCUCUGUCCAUCCUUCCCGCACCCCCGCAGACUCUCCCCGUCGGCCUGGCUGUCCUCCAGCAGGAGCGCCUGGACAGCCCUCCCAAGGCCGGCGCUCCACUCUGCGCGGACCACACGGCCCUGCUUGUGCGGUGCAGCCUUGGCUUAUGCUUGUUGCCCCGGCAUGACUAAUAGUGACUGUGACCCUCGUGAAAGUGGCUCUGUUGGGACACAAAGGGCAUGGUGCCUAAGCCUGGCCCACAGCAGGUCCAGGGCAGCCAGCCUCCUAGGCGUCAGCACACUCUGGGCCUGUUCCCUCCCCACCGGCAGCCUCCGGCAGCUCCUCACCUGGGCAGUGACCCUGAAAGACCCUCAUGGCAGAUAA